rnacentral:rRNA from 1 species
AGUGAACGCUGGCGGCAGGCCUAACACAUGCAAGUCGAACGGCAGCACAGCAGUAGCAAUACUGUGGGUGGCGAGUGGCGGACGGGUGAGGAAUGCAUCGGAAUCUGCCCAGUCGUGGGGGAUAACGUAGGGAAACUUACGCUAAUACCGCAUACGACCGAGAGGUGAAAGCGGGGGAUCGCAAGACCUCGCGCGAUUGGAUGAGCCGAUGCCGGAUUAGCUAGUUGGCGGGGUAAAAGCCCACCAAGGCGACGAUCCGUAGCUGGUCUGAGAGGAUGAUCAGCCACACUGGAACUGAGACACGGUCCAGACUCCUACGGGAGGCAGCAGUGGGGAAUAUUGGACAAUGGGCGCAAGCCUGAUCCAGCCAUGCCGCGUGGGUGAAGAAGGCCUUCGGGUUGUAAAGCCCUUUUGUCCGGAAAGAAAAGCUUCGGGUUAAUAACCCGGGGUCAUGACGGUACCGGAAGAAUAAGCACCGGCCAACUUCGUGCCAGCCGCCGCCGUAAUAC